rnacentral:rRNA from 1 species
GCUUACCAUGCAAGUCGAACGAGACCUUCGGGUCUAGUGGCGCACGGGUGCGUAACGCGUGGGAAUCUGCCCUUAGGUACGGAAUAACUCAGAGAAAUUUGUGCUAAUACCGUAUGAUGUCGAAAGACCAAAGAUUUAUCGCCUAAGGAUGAGCCCGCGUAAGAUUAGCUUGUUGGUGAGGUAAAAGCUCACCAAGGCGACGAUCUUUAGCUGGUCUAAGAGGAUGAUCAGCCACACUGGGACUGAGACACGGCCCAGACUCCUACGGGAGGCAGCAGUGGGGAAUAUUGGACAAUGGGCGAAAGCCUGAUCCAGCAAUGCCGCGUGAGUGAUGAAAGCCUUAGGGUUGUAAAGCUCUUUUACCAGGGAUGAUAAUGACAGUACCUGGAGAAUAAGCUCCGGCUAACUCCGUGCCAGCAGCCGCGGUAA